GACGAACGCUGGCGGCGUGCUUAACACAUGCAAGUCGAACGGAAAGGCCCUGCUUUUGUGGGGUGCUCGAGUGGCGAACGGGUGAGUAACACGUGAGUAACCUGCCCUUGACUUUGGGAUAACUUCAGGAAACUGGGGCUAAUACCGGAUAGGAGCUCCUGCUGCAUGGUGGGGGUUGGAAAGUUUCGGCGGUUGGGGAUGGACUCGCGGCUUAUCAGCUUGUUGGUGGGGUAGUGGCUUACCAAGGCUUUGACGGGUAGCCGGCCUGAGAGGGUGACCGGCGACAUGGGGACUGAGAGACGGCGCAGACUCCUACGGGACGCAGCAGUGGGGAAUAUGGCACAAUGGGCGGAAGCCUGAUGCAGCAACGCUGCGUGCGGGAUGACGGCCUUCGGGUUGUAAACCGCUUUCGCCUGUGACGAAGCGUGAGUGACGGUAAUGGGUAAAGAAGCACCGGCUAACUACGUG
rnacentral:rRNA from 1 species